rnacentral:lncRNA from 1 species
GUGCGUGGUAGUCGGUGCGUCUCACGCCCCAUCCCUCGCCCCCACCCCGCAACCAAGUACCUCUGGUUCCUUUCUGCCUUGUCUUUUAAUUCUGGUCGUCAUCUUCCUUCUCUCUCCGCUCUUGUUUGGUUCUAGAAUUAAUGAGAGCGAAAUUACUUUUCAGAACUUUUGCGGCAUUGGGGGUAUCCCUUCAGGAAGCAGGAGAUGCCUGGGGGAAGUCUGGCGCUCCCUCAGUCGGUAAGCGAUUUCUUCAGAAUUCAGGGGCUGAGCGGUCCCCGGAGGAGCGCUGCUGCGGAUACAGUCUGCAAACAAGGACUGUUGCUGUGCGCGCCGCCGGCCUGGGGCGCGUGCGGGGAGAACGGGAGGGUCCCCACGCGAAGGAGGAAUGAUGCUGACAGCAGCGGCUCACCUCUGGGUAAUUUACAAACCGUGUUCACGCCACGUCUGAUUUGAUCCUGAUUAAAAAACCAAAGGCAAAAAAUUCAUGCUGGCUUUGUUCCUAUACUUGCUGUGAAGACUGAGAAGCUGAGGGCUGCCUCUUUGGAAGGAGGAGCUGUGACACGGAGGCGAGUUAGGCGACCGUGAACUUGGACAGGGCGUUGGGGUCCCCGGACUGGAACCACAGGACACGGAGGGAAGGGUGGUUGAGACCAGCGCAGCUGCCUCUGGGCUUCACGUGGAGGCCAAGCUCAGGACCUUGGCUGUGCCUAGGAGCGGCUGCGGGCCUGCCUGGGGGCCACCAGACCCCCGCGUGGCCAGAGGAUCUUCCCAGCCCCUGGGCUGAACUGCCCCAAAAAGGGCGUGCAUCGUUCUCCCGGUUUCCUUUAUUUGAAGAGGCCUGUUUAAUAACCCCAUCAAAGCUGUCAGCUGACCAGACCCAGACAGCAGCCUCUCAAGAAAACAGUAAACUAGAUGAAAGAUGACUUUCUCAUAUCCGGUUGACAUGCUUUAUGUGUGAUCACUCUUGUGACAACAGAAGGUAUAUAAAAAGGCUCAGUUAUAGUUUCUCGGCAAGAAUAAAAUAACUUAGGGGGACUGGUCCGCCCAAGGGCCUGCAGAUGAAUGUCUGGCUAUAAAAGGGGACUUGCCUCAUAUUUCAUGAAGUUGCAGCUCAGCUGCUUGGCAGGUGAGGCAGGAAAAGUGGGAUGACGGGGAGAACGUCUUAUGAUGCGUCCAGAAGUGUCCAGUCCACGGUGUGAUCAACGUUCGGACUUGAAUGACGGGAACGAGCAUUACAAUUUUCUCCCUUUAAAUGUCCUUUGGGGGAGGUAGCAGUUUUAGGACUGAGGGUAAAAUCUGAUCAUUACCAGCUACCCCUGAAAUGGGAGGAAAUCCUUGUUCAGAUGAUAGCGUGUCGUGCUACCUGCAGGUGAGGGUUGGUUAUCUCUGUGUUACAAAUAGGGAAACGGAGGCUCUGAUAGGCGCCAGGGAUCCAACCUACGUCCUCAUGGGUGCUAUCACAUUCAUUUCUGCUGAGCCACAGUGGGAACUCCUGCUUUUGGCUAUUUUGAAUCAAGUGGUUAAGAACACAUGUAUGAGUCAAGUCAUGUGUGAACACAAGAUUUCAUUUCUCUUGGGUCCACAUAGAAGGGUGAACAGAUUGGGUUACAUGGCAGGUAUAUACCCAACUUCCUUAAGGAACUGGCAGAUUGUUCGCCAAGGUGGGUGUACUUUGAACAUUCCCACCGGCCACGAAUGAGCGUUCGCAUUGAUGCACGUCCCUGUCAAUUCCAUCAUCAGUUUUAAUGCAUCGUUUGGGCCUGUGCCAGGGCACAAAUUAUUGGCUCAUUUAAUGACUGUCUAUCUCUAAGCCCCAGCAGCGCUGCCUUCUAAAUACCUCUCCUCGCACACUGCUGCUGCCUUAUCAGCGCUCCUCUCUUAGCUGGUCUUCCAGGUCUACCUCCUCCCCUUCCACCCAGGCUCCAUGUACCAACCAGGCGGGUCUCAUCCAGACACAGGGCUGAUGGAUGGUGCCUUUGCCUUGCUUAAGACCACGGCGCAGUUUCCCAGGAGGGAGAAUACAUUUCUCCCAGAAAAGAACUGUAAUCCUGCAAGAUGUGCCCCGCUGGCCCCGUCCUAUGCCCCAAUUCCCCGAAUCCAGUCUUUCUUCUGUUCUUUUAGGGGUUCGGCCAGAAAGUAUGCUUUGUUUGGUUUCUAGCUGUACCCACAUGGUUUUAUUACUUUAAAAGAUUUGAAAUAAUAUGUCAACAUUAAAAACAUAAAAAUCCGUAAGAGCAUUAAUGGGUGGGCAUUCCCCAGGGGACUGGAGAAUGGUGGCUGUCUCUUUAAGACCAGGUGGGCACCUGCCCAAUCUCAGCACGUGCCCGUCCCUUUUCUUGCACCUGCUCAUCUCUGAGCUAAAUUCACACCUGUUCCUCUUUCAGAUCUGACCUGAAAAGGGGAAGCCUUUGACUCCCCCAUCCUGUCGCCUCCAGCACAGGGACCCCACACAGGCAGGGCUGGUCUCGGCGUGCGUGUCAUGGGGCCACGGCCCCUUCUCCUUGAGGUCUUUGACUUUGUGAAAUUGGUCCCCGACUGCUCGAGCCUCCUGGGAUGUGAACACAAGGCCAUUUCCGUCUCUUGGGAGGCAGGGUAGCGACUGAGGCAGUAACAGCAGCCCUGCAAACGGGAGAGUUAAUAUCAGCUUUUGAUGUACGAAAUAGGAUUUUCAAGGCUGCAGCAAGAUAUAGAUUAGGUCAGGAGAGGUAAGAAUUCUGGAAAUUACUUCGGCUUUCCCUUUAGUAGAUCUAGAAGCAGCCCUGGUGGCCUGAAUCAGGGAACUCUGCCCCUUCAAGCUCAGCGGCUUGCGUGGGAAGAGGGCUGGGUACAGAGAAGCUGAGCUGUCAUAAUGCGCUCCCUGAGCUGGAGGUGCACGGGGGGUGGGGGGGGCGUUAAAUAAGGGCUCUGCUUCACUUUCUUUUCAGGGCUCUGAGUGGGGUGGUGAUAAGUACCCCCCCCGCCCCCAGGCUGCCCUGCCCCACCUGGUACCCUGAGUCCCCCUCCUCCGAGUGCUCCUGUUCCCUGUGACGUGGGCAGGACCAGAAGUACUCACGUUCCUGCAAAAGGGAUGAGGAGGCUGGACUUGUGCCUUGACCUGGGGUUGGGGCCAUGGGCAGGGAUGCGUGGGCUGUGGGACGGACCUCCCGUGCCCUGGUGGGGGAUGGGGCACAGCACCCCUUCCAGAGGCAAGAAAGGGCAGGGUCACCUGCAGCUCUGACCAAGUCUUAGCAGAAGAGACGGCCCCAGCGCCUUCAUCCAUCCCUAGACCCUGGCAAAAGGCAGGUCUGCACACAAAUCCAGGGGGCAGGGCCGGCUUUGUGGGCGUGGGGUCUGUGCUCGGAAGGGCACAUGCUUAGCUUAAGUCUCUGCUGUUGCCGCCUUGAAAUGCUAGGUAAUUUCCAAACCAAAUGCCCCACAUGUUCCUCUGGCUCUGAGCCUUGAGAAUUAUGUAGCCCCGCGUUCAUCCAGAGAUGAGAUUGAGGCCAGGGCCCCUUCCCCCUAGUGCCACCAGGUCAUAAAACCACCCACCAACCACACUGGCGGGACACCAUUUUGAAGGGCGGGUGGAUUUGGGGGUACCCAUGGGCAGAGAAACCUGCAGGAGACUAGAGGGACCCUUUAGAUCAGGGAAAGCCCCUGUGUUGACCACGCUGGGCUAAAUUUUGUUUUCCUCUCUCUCCUCCCUCCAGCUACAAGCGGGGAGAGGGCCUGGGAGGAAGAUCAGAUUACUUUAUAGACAAUACACUGUGCACAUCUGCAUGCAGCGGGGAUCUGCGUGAUCCUGAGACGGAUGAUGUAUCUGUUUUUCAGCUGGUUAGCAAGACGGAGGAAAAGCAAUGAGAGCCUGAUCUUAGAGGAGUAGAAGUAGCAGUGGUUCAAUGAUACAGAGGAAAAAGCAUUGGAAACAAAAAGUAAGGUGCUGGUGACCUGCCGGCUCCCGGGGCUGGGGACAGAGUGAGCAAAGCAUCUGGUUGCUUAGGGACCCUACAUCACCCCAGUAAGCUGGAGGAGAGGAUGAGGGGGAUGGAAGGCUUAUUCCGUCUUGGGGGUGAAGCAUCUGAUCAGGAAAGGAAACCUCUGAGCAAGCUCCUCUGGGAAGGGAACAGACCCAGGCACAGAGAAUGUUCCGGACAACGCAGGAACACAGACCAUUAGUCCAAAGAGCUCCAUUUGCCGGAAAGGCUUCUUACUGGAAGCCUCAGGGAGGCUGGUACCAGCGUGGGGAGGACAGAGAUAUUAAUGGGCAGAAGGGACAGACAUUUCCAGGUAAGAGGACUGGAAACCAAGGUUUAGCAGAGAAGAGGUGAAUCCUGGGAGAAUCCGGCUCUGAGAGAAAGUACCCUGAUAGUCUGAGAUAGGUUUCUUUAAAUCUUGCUGAACGUUACGUUGCCUUUCCUCAAGCAAUGCAGAGUGAUUUUAACGAAGGGUACCAAUUUUCAUAGAAAGCGUUACAGGCGCCAAGGGGCCAUGGGGGGCAUCUGUCCUUGCCUCUGGAAGGAACCGUAUCCCAGUGAUUCCGGACAGAAAUCGGCGCUGCUUCCAAGGUCCGUCGGCGAUGGAGCUUCCCUCAUCUUGCUCUGAGCUCAGUCCGGCGCUCUGGAAAGGAGCCUUUGUGUCUAACCGCAGUCCCUUCUGCAGCAACAUGUCCUCUUGGUUGAAGCUCAAGGGAGAGGGUGAAGCAGGACCUCCAGCGGAGGCUGUGGUCCUGACCCAGGGGGAGCAUCGAGCUUCAGUUAACCACAGGGAGGACAGUCACCCAGUCCCUCCUAGGCACCCAGAGCUGUGGCGGGAGGACACUGGACAGCCCGGCGACGCCUUCCAGAGGAGACCCAGCGCGACGGGAUGGCCUGGGGGCUCGGCCCUAUCGCUCAGACCCUGUGCGGUGGAGCAGGCCUGCCCGUUUCCCCAGACCCUCUCCUUGACUGCAACCUCUGCCUCCCUUCUGGGCCACUUGGCUUGCCUUCCCUGAGCCUCAGUCUUAUCUUCUGUAAAAUGGGACACAGUGGUGCUUGCCUCACCUGGUGCUCAAGACAGUGACGUGAGACAAUGAACAGAGCACACCCAGAAAAACUCCCAGCACAUGGCAGGAGCUUGGUGAGGGUAACAGGACUGUUCUCCAGGAACAGACAGGCUGGAUGAACAGAUAAGCCGCCCUUGGACCUGCCUCUCCAACCGGCCACCACUGGCCACGGGUGGCUAUUUAAUGCGAACUUCAAAGUAAGUAGGAUUAAAAUGCAAUUGUCCAUCACAUGAGCCACAGAGCAAGUGCUCAGGAAGCAUGCGUGACCAGGGGUUCCCAUGGUGGGUAGAGAAGCUCAUCCCCUAUCGUCACAGAAUGUUCGGUCGGACAGUGCUGCCCUAGAUCAGUGAGCAGAGGCAGGUCCCCGAAAGGAGCAGGGAUAGGGAAGAGGCGUUUUGCUGGGGAUGAAAGUUGGGGUCCGGAGCAGGGGUCCCUGUGGACCUCAAAUACGAAGCUUCUCUCCGGUGGGAGCCAGAUGCGGGGGGCGACGGGAGGAAUGACCAGAGAGGGUCUGAGAACACACAGCCCUGCCCAGCUGGCCUGAGGGAAUCCAGGAUGCUGGCGUCACCCUCCGCCCUCCCCGGGGAGUCUGCGGAUGUGGCGGUGCGGGGGGGUCGCUUAUGAGCCAGGGGACAUGUUUGAUGCUUUCCUGGCCCCGGAGAGACUGCGGAGGUGUCGCCUUGAAUUUUCUCAGUGGGGUGGCGAGAACAGGCAGUUACACUGAGUCCUCAUUUGUCCUCCCUAAGUGCUAAGUGAUCGGUGAUACAUCGAGGGCCUGAUGGUUUCUGAAGGGCUCCUUUACAAGAUCUCCAAUAAAGCUCUAAAAGGAUCGUGCCUGUUUGGGGAAAGAUUAUGCCAGAGUGGGGCCAGGAGUUUGUCAGAAGAAAUUCCAGCCGGGCGAGCAUUUAGGGAACCAGACGAAGUCAGUGCUGGGAGCCAAUGAAUUAGAUGGCUGGAUGUGUCCCGGUAAUAAUGGUGAAUAAUAAAUGACCGAGAAGCUGCUGUAACUCACAGAGCAGGAGCGGAGACUAGAGAAGAAAAUUUAUGGCCUUGUAGUGCCGAGGGAAAGAGAACGCUUCGGACGUGACUCGGGCUUUUGAAGAGAAAACUUCUCCAAGACAUACCCCUCCGGAAAAAAAAAAAAAAAAAAA